rnacentral:rRNA from 1 species
UGAGGAAUAUUGGUCAAUGGGCGCAAGCCUGAACCAGCCAAGUAGCGUGAGGGAAGACUGCCCUAUGGGUUGUAAACCUCUUUUGUGCGGGGAUAAAGUGUGGGACGUGUCCCAUAUUGCAGGUACCGCACGAAUAAGGACCGGCUAAUUCCGUGCCAGCAGCCGCGGUAAUACGGAAGGUCCGGGCGUUAUCCGGAUUUAUUGGGUUUAAAGGGAGCGCAGGCCGUCCUUUAAGCGUGCUGUGAAAUGCCGCGGCUCAACCGUGGCACUGCAGCGCGAACUGGAGGACUUGAGUACGCACGAGGUAGGCGGAAUUCGUGGUGUAGCGGUGAAAUGCUUAGAUAUCACGAAGAACUCCGAUUGCGAAGGCAGCUUACCGGAGCGCAACUGACGCUGAGGCUCGAAAGCGCGGGUAUCGAACAGGAUUAGAUACCCUGGUAGUCCGCGCGGUAAACGAUGGAUGCCCGCCGUUGGGUUUUAGAAUUCAGCGGCCAAGCGAAAGCGUUAAGCAUCCCACCUGGGGAGUACGCCGGCAACGGUGAAACUCAAAGGAAUUGACGGGGGCCCGCACAAGCGGAGGAACAUGUGGUUUAAUUCGAUGAUACGCGAGGAACCUUACCCGGGCUUGAAUUGCAGGAGAACGAUCCAGAGAUGGUGAGGCCCUUCGGGGCUCCUGUGAAGGUGCUGCAUGGUUGUCGUCAGCUCGUGCCGUGAGGUGUCGGCUCAAGUGCCAUAACGAGCGCAACCCCUGUCCAUAGUUGCCAUCAGGUCGUGCUGGGCACUCUGUGGAGACUGCCGCCGUAAGGUGUGAGGAAGGUGGGGAUGACGUCAAAUCAGCACGGCCCUUACGUCCGGGGCUACACACGUGUUACAAUGGGGCAUACAGCGAGUUGGAUGUGCGCAAGUACGUCCGGAUCAAUAAAGUGCCUCUCAGUUCGGACUGGGGUCUGCAACCCGACCCCACGAAGCUGGAUUCGCUAGUAAUCGCGCAUCAGCCAUGGCGCGGUGAAUACGUUCCC